rnacentral:rRNA from 1 species
UACGGGGGGGGCAAGCGUUGUUCGGAAUUACUGGGCGUAAAGGGCUCGUAGGCGGCCAACUAAGUCGGAUGUGAAAUCCCCAGGCUUAACCUGGGAACUGCAUCCGAUACUGGAUGGCUUGAAUCCGGGAGAGGGAUGCGGAAUUCCAGGUGUAGCGGUGAAAUGCGUAGAUAUGCGGAGGAACACCGAUGGCGAAGGCAAUCCCCUGGGCCUGCACUGACGCUCAUGCACGAAAGCGUGGGGAGCAAACAGG